rnacentral:rRNA from 1 species
AGCGAACGCUGGCGGCAGGCCUAACACAUGCAAGUCGAGCGCCCCGCAAGGGGAGCGGCAGACGGGAGAGUAACACGUGGGAACGUACCCUUCAGUUCGGAACAACCCAGGGAAACUUGGGCUAAUACCGGAUACGUCCGUAAGGAGAAAGAUUUAUCGCUGAAGGAUCGGCCCGCGUCCGAUUAGCUAGUAGGUGAGGUAACGGCUCACCAAGGCGACGAUCGGUAGCUGGUCUGAGAGGAUGAGCAGCCUCACUGGGACUGAGACACGGCCCAGACUCCUACGGGAGGCAGCAGUGGGGAAUAUUGGACAAUGGGCGCAAGCCUGAUCCAGCCAUGCCGCGUGGAUGAUGAAGGCCCUAGGGUUGUAAAGUCCUUUCGGCGGGGAAGAUAAUGACGGUACCCGCAGAAGAAGCCCCGGCUAACUUCGUGCCAGCAGCCGCAGUAAAAC